AUGGCGGCGUCCGGCGAGGGAGCGUCGCUGCCGUCUCCGGCAGGUGGCGAGGACAGCCGCCGCCGUCGUGUGAGCUACUUCUACGAGCCCACGAUCGGCGACUACUACUACGGGCAGGGCCACCCGAUGAAGCCCCACCGCAUCCGCAUGGCGCACUCGCUAGUUAUCCACUAUGGUCUGCACCGCCUGCUCGAGCUCUCACGCCCCUUCCCUGCCUCGGAAGCCGACAUCAGCCGCUUCCACUCCGACGAAUAUGUCUCCUUCCUUGCCUCCGCGACCGGCAACCCGACCAUCCUCGACCCCCGCGCCGUCAAGCGCUUCAACGUCGGGGAGGACUGCCCCGUCUUUGACGGACUCUUCCCCUUCUGCCAGGCCUCCGCCGGUGGCAGCAUCGGCGCCGCCGUCAAGCUCAACCGUGGCGACGCCGACAUCACCGUGAACUGGGCUGGCGGGCUCCACCACGCCAAGAAGGGCGAGGCCUCUGGGUUCUGCUAUGUCAAUGACAUCGUCCUCGCCAUUCUUGAGCUUCUCAAGUUCCACAGGCGUGUGCUAUAUGUAGACAUUGAUGUUCACCACGGAGAUGGUGUGGAGGAGGCCUUCUUCACUACAAACCGAGUCAUGACGGUUUCUUUCCACAAGUAUGGAGACUUCUUUCCUGGAACUGGACAUAUAACUGAUGUUGGAGCGGGUGAAGGGAAACAUUAUGCUGUAAAUGUCCCCCUGAGUGAUGGCAUUGAUGAUGACACCUUCCGUGAUCUGUUCCAAUGCAUCAUUAAAAGAGUAAUGGAGGUUUAUCAGCCAGAGGUAGUUGUUCUCCAGUGUGGGGCUGACUCUUUGGCUGGAGAUAGGUUAGGCUGCUUCAAUCUGUCUGUGAAAGGCCACGCAGACUGCCUCCGUUUUCUCAGGUCAUUCAAUAUUCCUAUGAUGGUUUUGGGAGGUGGAGGUUACACCAUCAGAAAUGUUGCUCGCUGUUGGUGCUAUGAGACUGCAGUUGCUGUUGGCGUUGAACCUGAUAACAAGUUGCCUUAUAAUGACUACUACGAGUACUUUGGCCCUGACUAUAAUCUUCAUAUUCAACCAAGAAUCGUGGAAAAUCUGAAUACUACAAAAGACUUGGAGAAUAUAAAGAACAUGAUAUUGGAUCAUCUUUCAAAGUUAGAACAUGUCCCGAACGCUCAAUUCCAUGAAAGACCAUCAGAUCCUGAAGGUCCAGAAGAGAAGGAGGAGGAUAUGGACAAGAGACCAGCUCAGCGCAGCAGAUUGUGGAGUGGAGGAGCUUAUGAUUCUGACACAGAAGAUCCUGACAACAUGAAAACCGAGGCUAACGACUUAUCUGCCAACUCUAUCAUGAAGGAUGCAUCAAAUGAUGAUUUGUAG
rnacentral:rRNA from 1 species